GUAGGGGGCAAGCGUUAUCCGGAUUUACUGGGUGUAAAGGGAGCGUAGACGGUGCGUUAAGUCAGAAGUGAAAGCCCAUUGCUCAACGAUGGAGCUGCUUUUGAAACUAACGAACUAGAGUACAGGAGAGGUAAGUGGAAUUCCUAGUGUAGCGGUGAAAUGCGUAGAGAUUAGGAGGAACACCAGUGGCGAAGGCGGCUUACUGGACUGAAACUGACGUUGAGGCUCGAAAGCGUGGGGAGCAAA
rnacentral:rRNA from 1 species